rnacentral:rRNA from 1 species
GAUGAACGCUGGCGGCGUGCCUAAUACAUGCAAGUCGAGCGAACGGACGAGAAGCUUGCUUUUCUGAUGUUAGCGGCGGACGGGUGAGUAACACGUGGAUAACCUACCUAUAAGACUGGGAUAACUUCGGGAAACCGGAGCUAAUACCGGAUGAUAUUUUGAACCGCAUGGUUCAAAAGUGAAAGACGGUCUUGCUGUCACUUAUAGAUGGAUCCGCGCUGCAUUAGCUAGUUGGUAAGGUAACGGCUUACCAAGGCAACGAUGCAUAGCCGACCUGAGAGGGUGAUCGGCCACACUGGAACUGAGACACGGUCCAGACUCCUACGGGAGGCAGCAGUAGGGAAUCUUCCGCAAUGGGCGAAAGCCUGACGGAGCAACGCCGAGUGAGUGAUGAAGGUCUUCGGAUCGUAAAACUCUGUUAUUAGGGAAGAACAUAUGUGUAAGUAACUGUGCACAUCUUGACGGUACCUAAUCAGAAAGCCACGGCUAACUACGUG